rnacentral:rRNA from 1 species
AUUGAACGCUGGCGGCAUGCUUUACACAUGCAAGUCGAACGGCAGCGCGGGCUUCGGCCUGGCGGCGAGUGGCGAACGGGUGAGUAAUGCAUCGGAACGUGCCCAGUAGUGGGGGAUAGCCCGGCGAAAGCCGGAUUAAUACCGCAUACGACCUGAGGGUGAAAGCGGGGGACCGAAAGGCCUCGCGCUAUUGGAGCGGCCGAUGUCGGAUUAGCGAGUUGGUGGGGUAAAGGCUUACCAAGGCGACGAUCCGUAGCUGGUCUGAGAGGACGACCAGCCACACUGGAACUGAGACACGGCCCAGACUCCUACGGGAGGCAGCAGUGGGGAAUGUUGGACAAUGGGGGCAACCCUGAUCCAGCCAUGCCGCGUGCGGGAAGAAGGCCUUCGGGUUGUAAACCGCUUUUGUUCGGGAAGAAAUCCUCUGGGCUAAUACCCCGGGGGGAUGACGGUACCGGAAGAAUAAGCACCGGCUAACUACGUG